rnacentral:rRNA from 1 species
UGGGGAAUCUUGGACAAUGGGGGCAACCCUGAUCCAGCGACGCCGCGUGGGUGACGAAGGCCUUCGGGUUGUAAAGCCCUUUUUCCGGGGACGAUGAUGACGGUACCCGGGGAAUAAGCACCGGCUAACUCCGUGCCAGCAGCCGCGGUAAGACGGAGGGUGCUAGCGUUGUUCGGAAUUACUGGGCGUAAAGGGCGCGUAGGCGGCCUGAUCAGUCGGGUGUGAAAGCCCGGGGCUCAACCCCGGAACGGCACCCGAGACGGUCAGGCUGGAGACCGGGAGAGGAGGGUGGAAUAGCCAGUGUAGAGGUGAAAUUCGUAGAUAUUGGCUGGAACACCGGUGGCGAAAGCGGCUCUCUGGCCCGGUUCUGACGCUGAGGCGCGAAAGCGUGGGGAGCAAACA